AAGUAAGAUACUUUUACUGCUGUAAUCGAGCGAAGUUCAGUCAAUCAAAACUUUAUUACUUACAUCGUAUUUACCAACGAAUAGUUAAUCCCCUUCAUUACAAUAAACAUAAACUAGUAAUUAGAGACAUGCAGUAAUAAUACUUAACAAAAACGUUUUUUUUUAGUUCCAAAGAAUUCAUGUACUAUCUGAUCUAAUGAAUGUGCAUCUCAACGUGAAUUCUGCAAAUGAAGUCGAAACCUCGGUUUAAGCUGAUAGCUUAACUUCAGAAAUAGACUAUAUCUACUUUGAUUACACGAUGUUAUUACUUGAUGGCGGAUGUUAUUUGUGAGCACGUGCUUGUUUAGUGCGUUGCGUAGAUAUUGCUUUCGAAAAAUUUAAAUUUGAUUACCGGGUUUCAUCAAUAGUCGUGUCACUUCAACUAGACGCAAUAGUGCCUAUACACUCGUCUGCCAACAAAGACAUAAAAAAGCUAAGUACCAUUUUCCCACUUGUUUUUCAACCGAUUUUCUAUUUCCUUUUCUUUUGUUUAAUAGUUAUUGACAAACUUUAGUACUAUUUAUUUUUGUAAAAACAAUAUUUUAUAUUUCAAAACAGAAAAUUUUUAGCUAACAUUUUCUUAUUUGUCAACCGAUUUUAUAUUUCCUUUUUUUCUCUUUACUAGUAAUAUUUAUUUACAAAAUUUUGUGUUAUCAAUAAAAACAUGUGUAAAUUGUUAUUUUAGUUUUUCGAAAAAGAAAAUUGUUUAGUACCAUU